rnacentral:rRNA from 1 species
GUAGGCUGCAACUCGCCACACGAAGCUGGAAUCGCUAGUAAUCGCGGAUCAGCACGCCGCGGUGAAUGCGUUCCCGGGCCUUGUACACACCGCCCGUCAAGUCAUGAAAGUGGGCAGCACCCGAAGACGGUGGCCUAACCCUUGUGGGGGAGCCGUCUAAGGUGAGGCUCGUGAUUGGGACUAAGUCGUAACAAGGUAUC